rnacentral:rRNA from 1 species
GCAUAUCAAUAAGCGGAGGAAAAGAAAAUAACAAUGAUUCCUCUAGUAACUGCGAGUGAAGAGGGAAAAGCUCAAAUUUUAAAUCUGUUAGGUUUACCUAACCGAGUUGUAAUUUGAAGAAGCGCUUUUCUGCGAAUUUGGUUAGUCCAAAUCCUUUGGAGUAAGGUAUCAUGGAGGGUGAGAAUCCCGUUCGGUUAACCAAAGCGCUUUACGACACGCUUUCAAAGAGUCAAGUUGUUUGGGAUUGCAGCUUAAAAUGGGAGGUAAAUUUCUCCUAAGGCUAAAUAUUGGCGAGAGACCGAUAGCGAACAAGUACCGUGAGGGAAAGAUGAAAAGAACUUUGAAAAGAGAGUUAAACAGUACGUGAAAUUGUUGAAAGGGAAACGAUUAAAGUCAGUCGUACCUACGAGUAAUCAACCUACUCGAGUGCGAUUUUGUGGGUAUGUUAGAGCCUAAAAACCUUCAUGCUUACAAAUUGGUGCUCUUUGGGCGUACUUUCUCGUAUGGUAGGUUAACAUCAAUUUCGAUCGUUAUAAAAUGACUGGAGGAAUGUAGCUUCGAUCUCGGUUGAAGUGUUAUAGCCUUUGGUAGAUGUAAUGAUUGGGAUUGAGGAUUGCAACGGAUACCCUCUGGGCUAUUCGUCUGAUCUCUGGAAGUUACCUUGGUGUCGAAAGCGUGCUUACGAUAUUAAGGUUGACGGCCAAUAGGUUAGAACGUGAUUAAAUUCGUUAAGGAUGUUGACGUAAUGGCUUUAAACGAC